GACGAACGCUGGCGGCGUGCUUAACACAUGCAAGUCGAACGGAAAGGCCCUGCUUUUGUGGGGUGCUCGAGUGGCGAACGGGUGAGUAACACGUGAGUAACCUGCCCUUGACUUUGGGAUAACUUCAGGAAACUGGGGCUAAUACCGGAUAGGAGCUCCUGCUGCAUGGUGGGGGGUGGAAAGUUUCGGCGGUUGGGGAGGGACUCGCGGCUUAUCGUCUUGUUGGUGGGGUAGUGGCUUACCAAGGCUUUGGGGGGUAGCCGGCCUGAGAGGGUGACCGGCCACAUUGGGAUUGAGAAACGGCCCAGACCCCUACGGGAGGCAGAAGUGGGGAAAAUUGAACAAUGGGCGGAAGCCUGAUCAAGCAACGCCGCGUGCGGGAUGACGGCCUUCGGGUUGUAACCCGCUUUCGCCUGUGACGAAGCGUGAGUGACGGUAAUGGGUAAAGAAGCACCGGCUAACUACGUG
rnacentral:rRNA from 1 species